AACGAACGCUGGCGGCAGGCUUAACACAUGCAAGUCGAACGAGAAGCUCACUUCGGUGAGUGGAAAGUGGCAGACGGGUGAGUAACGCGUGGGAACAUACCCAGAGGUACGGAAUAACGCAGGGAAACUUGUGCUAAUACCGUAUACGCCCUUCGGGGGAAAGAUUUAUCGCCUUUGGAAUGGCCCGCGUUAGAUUAGUUUGUUGGUGGGGUAAUGGCCUACCAAGACUACGAUCUAUAGCUGGUCUGAGAGGAUGAUCAGCCACACUGGGACUGAGACACGGCCCAG
rnacentral:rRNA from 1 species